rnacentral:rRNA from 1 species
UACGUAGGGUGCACGCGUUGUCCGGAAUUAUUGGGCGUAAAGAGCUCGUAGGCGGUCUGUCGCGUCUGCUGUGAAAACUCGGGGCUUAACCCCGGGCCUGCAGUGGGUACGGGCAGACUAGAGUGCGGUAGGGGAGACUGGAAUUCCUGGUGUAGCGGUGAAAUGCGCAGAUAUCAGGAGGAACACCGGUGGCGAAGGCGGGUCUCUGGGCCGUAACUGACGCUGAGGAGCGAAAGCAUGGGGAGCGAACAGG